CUCACCUAAAGGAUUAUUAGGAACACCAUACUAAUACUGUGUUUGACCCCCUUUCGCCUUCAGAACUGCCUUAAUUCUACCUGGCAUUGAUUCAACAAAGUGCUGAAAGCAUUCUUUAGAAAUGUUGGCCCAUAUUGAUAGGAUAGCAUCUUGCAGUUGAUGGAGAUUUGUGGGAUGCACAUCCAGGGCACGAAGCUCCCGUUCCACCACAUCCCAAAGAUGCUCUAUUGGGUUGAGAUCUGUUGAGGGUGUGGGGGCCAUUUCAGUACAGUGAACUCAUUGUCAUGUUCAAGAAACCAAUUUGAAAUGAUUCGAGCUUUGUGACAUGGUGCAUUAUCCUGCUAGAAGUAGCCAUCAGAGGAUGGGUACAUGGUGGUCAUAAAGGGAUGGACAUGGUCAGAAACAAUGCUCAGGUAGGCCGUGGCAUUUAAACCAUGCCCAAGUGUGCCAAGAAAACAUCCCCCACACCAUUACACCACCGCCACCAGCCUGCACUGUGGUAACAAGGCAUGAUGGAUCCAUGUUCUCAUUCUGUUUACGCCAAAUUCUGACUCUACCAUCUGAAUGUCUCAACAGAAAUCGAGACUCAUCAGACCGGGCAACAUUCUUCCAGUCUUCAACUGUCCAAUUUUGUUAUCAAGCACAAGCGCCGCCAAUCAGCUCACACCACUGCCUCAAACAUCCCGCAAUGUCUGGAGAGGUAACUGCAUCAUAUGUUACGGCCCUCUGUCAGUGGUUGAAAGUUGAUGACAUGGCAGCCGCUGGUUAAUGCGUGGAGCGUCUGUGAACAGGAACGUGACCGGUGUGACAACUAGUGUGGCCAGUGCGAGCAAACGACUGCUGUCUGAACACACGCACACAUCUGAUUAAGUCACUUGUGAUCCGCGGUUCGGACUGAUUUGAGGAGCAUAACUGAUUUGACGAUUGCACCCUGCUGUGUGAACAUUUCAGAAUGUCCAGCGAGGUUCGACACAAUGCACUUCCACUGAAUAUUAGACAGGACUCGGAGCGCUUUUCCCUGAGCUGGCAGAUGAAUGUUGCUGCCUGUCUGCCUGCUGAAGAUACGGCGCGAUGGAUUCAACCUUAUAAGCAACACCCAAGAAAGCAGAUCUGUUAGAAUAGCCUUUGUCACAAUAUCUCUAUAAGGGAGGCGUUUUUGGACUGAAUUGACCGCAACAUUUAUAAGAUUAGCAUUUCAAGAUGGUCACAUUGUGUUUUCAUUCACCUUGAAAACGAACAGGUUACUGCAUACACAAUAGGGUCAGAGCACAGUGAUGAUGAACGAAUGCAGGCAGGAACCACUUUUUACAAACUGAAAGAAGAAGUAUCACAAAACUUAAAUUAUUCACAUAAUCAGGAAAACCGUGGCUCAGGACAUUGGGGAUGUCCCAAUUUCCAUAAUGCACAAACAAAGUAUGGUGUUAAAAGCCUUCUAUGCAUAUUCUUCCCAUUGUCCCACCAUUAAAACAGUUGCGCAUCUUCUGCGAAAACACUUUCCCUCUUCUCUCCCUCUAUGGAAUACAACAACACGUGCCUCCUGACACUUUGUCAGUCACGUCACCCUCUUUGAACUCACUCAGAAAAUCCAUGCAAUAUAUUUUCUAGACAAUGCUUAAGAGUAAAGUGAUGAAUGCUUAAAGACUUGAAGUGCAACUCUUAACUUUUAUCAAUAAUCCUAAAUACAAAAGGUGUCUGUCUGUCCUGAAAUCAACAGUCAGUUUGGGGAUGAGUAAGAAGGAGGGCAAUAUCUUUUGGGGACACAUUCUACUCGGAUAACCUUUGGGGACACAUUCUACUCGGAUAACCUUUGGGGACACAUUCUACUCAGAUAUCUUUUGGGGACACUUUCUGCUCAGAUUUUUUUGGGGACACAUUCUGCUCAGAUAUCUUUGUUGGCUAGCUAGACUGCUUACAUGUGAUACACAAGGUUCCAGGCAACAAGAUUACGACAAUGUAUACAUUAUAAUGCAAUAACAUCCAAUUAGUUUACACUAAUUACUAUUUAACUCUGUGCCUCAGCAUAUUUGCUCAGAAAGUGAGGCUUUUCCUUAUUCAUAUAUUUUGUACAAAACGAUUGCCAGUUUAAGCUAACUAACUUGGGAGUGGAGGGCAGACAAACUCCCUGAAUAGUCUUCUUCUUAUUCUGGCCCUCAGUAAUCAGCUACAUGCUUAAAAAAUGUGUUGUAAAUAUUCUGACUAUUAAUUAAUAUCCUGUUGCUUAAUAUUCUCACCAGUUUUGUUCAGAAAUAUAAUGUCCACCAAGUAUUACGUUGUUAUAUGCCAAGUAGGGUCAGUCCUUGUCGGUCGCUGGCUGGGAACAAUUGUUGUGUCACCCGAAAUUGUGUUGUGUGUUUUCAGUUUUCUUUUGUUCAUUGAUGCCCGUCUUGGCCAAGACACUCCUGUAAAAUUAUUUUUAAUCUGAGUCUUUUUGUCAUGGUUAAACAAAAGUUAGAAAAAGCCAAAUCCCCAGGGCAGUGAUGCUGGGUCGUUGCCCCAUCUAGGGAGCCAUCUGUUGGAUGGGAUAUAAAAUGGGUGAACCGACUCUUGGUGGUCACUACAGAUCCCACGGUCCUGAUGACAAGACUACUGGUAUUAACCCUGGUGUCAUGGCCUCAUGUCCAAUCUAUCCAUAACACCAAGCCAAAGAACGCUGUAUGGUUCUACUUGGCAUCUUUUAUUUGAUGAGUGUAUGUAUAUGAUAUACUACAUAAAUUACCUUCUCGAAACAUUAUAUUUUUUACGCGAGUGCUAAAAUAAAUGUAACCUAGGAAGGUAAAUCGAGGAUUAAAGAAACAUGUAUCCCAGCAACCCUGGCAGUGGGUGUUGUUAAUUUUUGUUGCCUUGCUGUUGUUUUUGUUGUCAUGGCGAGGAAAUAAAUAAAGAAAAUAUUUCCUGUUAAUCAAUGGUUCUUGAAUGGUUUCGCCUCCGGACCCAAUUUGAACCAGGUUACCUUGUAAUAUGAUAUUCACAUUGCUGAUGUUAUUUUUUUUUGGUUGACUGAAAUGCUAUGUGGAG
ensembl:lncRNA